rnacentral:rRNA from 1 species
UGGGGAAUAUUGCACAAUGGAGGGAACUCUGAUGCAGCGACGCCGCGUGAACGAAGAAGGCUUUCGAGUCGUAAAGUUCUUUUAUAUGGGAAGAUAAUGACGGUACCAUAAGAAAAAGCCCCGGCUAACUAUGUGCCAGCAGCCGCGGUAAUACGUAGGGGGCUAGCGUUGUCCGGAAUCACUGGGCGUAAAGGGUUCGCAGGCGGGAAUGAAAGUCAGGUGUAAAAGGCAGUAGCUUAACUACUGUAAGCAUUUGAAACUACAUAUCAUGAGAAGAGUAGGGGUAAGUGGAAUUUUUAGUGUAGCGGUGAAAUGCGUAAAUAUUAAAAAGAAUACCGGUGGCGAAGACGACUUACUGGGCACAUACUGACGAUGAGAAACGACAACGUCGGUAGCAAACAGG